rnacentral:rRNA from 1 species
UACGGAGGGUGCAAGCGUUAUUCGGAAUUACUGGGCGUAAAGCGAGUGUAGGCGGUUUUGUAAGUCUGAUGUGAAAGCCCUCGACUCAAUCGAGGAAGUGCAUUGGAUACUGCAAGGCUAGAGGAUAGGAGAGGAGAACGGAAUUCCUGGUGUAGAGGUGAAAUUCGUAGAUAUCAGGAGGAACAACGAUGGCGAAGGCAGUUCUCUGGACUAUUACUGACGCUAAGACUCGAAAGCGUGGGGAGCAAACAGG